rnacentral:lncRNA from 1 species
CCUCCCGGCCGCCGGGGGCGCCCCUCCUGCGGCCUCAGGGCCGGCGCCGCCUCCCGCUGGGUCUCCGCCCCCGCGCUGUGAUUGGCCGGCGGGGCGGGGCGGGGCGGGGCGGGGGCGGGGCCGAGGAGGCCGGGGCGACCGCGAGCGGCUCGGCGGGGUUGCCCGACCCCAGGGCGGCGGCCGCGGUCACCGCCCUCGCCCCGCGGUUCCCCGCAGCGACUGGUUCCUGCCGCGGCUCCGGGUUUCCUUCCGCGAAAUGAAAGCGGGCGGCGGCGCGUCGGUAGGAGCAGCGGCUCCGGGCUAGAGAGCAGGCUUUCAUCGCCGGCCAGCAGCACCGGCGGCGGCCGCUCUGUGCGACAUCUGUGGGGAGCUGGAGCCUGUGCCACCGGCCGGACGCCUCCUGAGGGCAGAGGGGCCUGGUGCCCCAGGAGCUGCUGCGGCUCAGAAAGGGUCACAAACCUGGGACAAUGGAAAAGUAUGGUCACAGAGUACUAGCAGCCCGGACG